rnacentral:lncRNA from 1 species
GAGGGCGCUCCAGAUAACGUGGUGCUAUUUCCUCCAGAAGAAACACAGUCUGACAUGGUAAAUGAGGCUGCAGUACACACUGACAAGGUGAGCCCACUGAAGGAGAAGUCUGCCACUGCAGAGAACGGAUCUGUCCACACUGAUUCAGUCAAAGCAGAGCCACAGGUGACUGCUGAUGAGGAAGAAAAGCCGCAAAGGCAAGAAGAGGAGGAUAAAGAGGAGCUAGAGUUUCCUCAUGAUCUGCUGACCAGCAUAGACCUUGACCUCAGCACUGAGCUCAGUCUCACCUGGGGAAUCUCACUUGGUUGUGAGCAGGGGAGCUUGGGUGAAAUGAAGAAUGAGACUGUGGCACUGGGUGGCACUGCCAACCCUCUGCUGGCAGGCCUAGAGCACUACAUAGGGGCCAGUCCACCAGUAGUGGGCCUCAUGAAGAGCUGUGAUGGUGACCAAGUUUCUACUGAGAGAGCAUCACUGACCCAAGCCCACUUGUCUAGCAAAUCUCAGCAACAUGUUCCAUCCCUCAAUCCUGUGGCUGCCCAGAUGGAUUAUGAACUCCAGGAAGCUUUAAGGGAAUGUGAAGACGAAAUGGCUGCUCUUGGCAUAUCCUCCCAUGCAGACACAUGGACUGCAGGUGAUCUGGACAGGUGUUUCUCUGUAACCGUGCCUGAAAGUUAUGAGAAAAAUCAAACCGAGAAAACUGAAGUCAAAAAGGAUUUUGGUUCAUCUUCACAUAAACCUGCCAAAUUUCAUGAAGGUUGCCAUGGAAAUGAUGGAGCGCACACAAAUGACUCAACAGCAGGUGAAGAGGGGGUGGUUAGCUUCAGAGAUUAUGUUCUAGGAAGAAAGCAAAGUAAUGCAUGUGCAGCUGGAUCUGAGGAUGUCAAAAACAUUGAGGAUAUAACGGAAAACCACAGAGAAGAA